CUUAACACAUGCAAGUCGAACGGAAAGGCCCUGCUUUUGUGGGGUGCUCGAGUGGCGAACGGGUGAGUAACACGUGAGUAACCUGCCCUUGACUUUGGGAUAACUUCAGGAAACUGGGGCUAAUACCGGAUAGGAGCUCCUGCUGCAUGGUGGGGGUUGGAAAGUUUCGGCGGUUGGGGACGGACUCGCGGCUUAUCAGCUUGUUGGUGGGGUAGUGGCUUACCAAGGCUUUGACGGGUAGCCGGCCUGAGAGGGUGUCCGGCCACAUUGGGACUGAGAUACGGCCCAGACUCCUACGGGAGGCAGCAGUGGGGAAUAUUGCACAAUGGGCGGAAGCCUGAUGCAGCAACGCCGCGUGCGGGGUGACGGCCUUCGGGUUGUAAACCGCUUUCGCCUGUGACGAAGCGUGAGUGACGGUAAUGGGUAAAGAAGCACCGGCUAACUACGUGCCAGCAGCCGCGGUGAUACGUAGGGUGCGAGCGUUGUCCGGAUUUAUUGGGCGUAAAGGGCUCGUAGGUGGUUGAUCGCGUCGGAAGUGUAAUCUUGGGGCUUAACCCUGAGCGUGCUUUCGAUACGGGUUGACUUGAGGAAGGUAGGGGAGAAUGGAAUUCCUGGUGGAGCGGUGGAAUGCGCAGAUAUCAGGAGGAACACCAGUGGCGAAGGUGGUUCUCUGGGCCUUUCCUGACGCUGAGGAGCGAAAGCGUGGGGAGCGAACAGGCUUAGAUACCCUGGUAGUCCACGCUGUAAACGGUGGGUACUAGGUGUGGGGUCCAUUCCACGGGUUCCGUGCCGUAGCUAACGCUUUAAGUACCCCGCCUGGGGAGUACGGCCGCAAGGCUAAAACUCAAAGGAAUUGACGGGGCCCCGCACAAGCGGCGGAGCAUGCGGAUUAAUUCGAUGCAACGCGUAGAACCUUACCUGGGUUUGACAUGGAUCGGGAGUGCUCAGAGAUGGGUGUGCCUCUUUUGGGGUCGGUUCACAGGUGGUGCAUGGCUGUCGUCAGCUCGUGUCGUGAGAUGUUGGGUUAAGUCCCGCAACGAGCGCAACCCUUGUUCACUGUUGCCAGCACGUUAUGGUGGGGACUCAGUGGAGACCGCCGGGGUCAACUCGGAGGAAGGUGGGGAUGACGUCAAGUCAUCAUGCCCCUUAUGUCCAGGGCUUCACGCAUGCUACAAUGGCUGGUACAGAGAGUGGCGAGCCUGUGAGGGUGAGCGAAUCUCGGAAAGCCGGUCUCAGUUCGGAUUGGGGUCUGCAACUCGACCUCAUGAAGUCGGAGUCGCUAGUAAUCGCAGAUCAGCAACGCUGCGGUGAAUACGUUCCCGGGGCUUGUACACACCGCCCGUCAAGUCAUGAAAGUUGGUAACACCCGAAGCCGGUGGCCUAACCGUUGUGGGGGAGCCGUCGAAGGUGGGACUGGUGAUUAGGACUAAGU
rnacentral:rRNA from 1 species